rnacentral:rRNA from 1 species
UACGUAGGGUGCAAACGUUGCUCGGAAUCAUUGGGCGUAAAGCGCACGUAGGCGGACUGCUAAGUCGGAUGUGAAAGCCCUCGGCUUAACCGAGGAAGUGCAUUCGAAACUGACAGUCUUGAGUAUGGAAGAGGGUCGCGGAAUUCCCGGUGUAGAGGUGAAAUUCGUAGAUAUCGGGAGGAACACCAGUGGCGAAGGCGGCGACCUGGGCCAAUACUGACGCUGAGGUGCGAAAGCGUGGGGAGCAAACAGG